GCGGCGUGCCUAAUACAUGCAAGUCGAAGCGAACAGAUAAGGAAGCUUGCUCCUUUGACGUUAGCGGCGGACGGGUGAGUAACACGUGGAUAACCUACCUAUAAGACUGGGAUAACUUCGGGAAACCGGAGCUAAUACCGGAUAACAUAUUGAACCGCAUGGUUCAAUAGUGAAAGGCGGCUUUGCUGUCACUUAUAGAUGGAUCCGCGCCGUAUUAGCUAGUUGGUAAGGUAACGGCUUACCAAGGCAACGAUACGUAGCCGACCUGAGAGGGUGAUCGGCCACACUGGAACUGAGACACGGUCCAGACUCCUACGGGAGGCAGCAGUAGGGAAUCUUCCGCAAUGGGCGAAAGCCUGACGGAGCAACGCCGCGUGAGUGAUGAAGGUCUUCGGAUCGUAAAACUCUGUUAUCAGGGAAGAACAAAUGUGUAAGUAACUGUGCACAUCUUGACGGUACCUGAUCAGAAAGCCACGGCUAACUACGUGCCAGCAGCCGCGGUAAUACGUAGGUGGCAAGCGUUAUCCGGAAUUAUUGGGCGUAAAGCGCGCGUAGGCGGUUUUUUAAGUCUGAUGUGAAAGCCCACGGCUCAACCGUGGAGGGUCAUUGGAAACUGGAAAACUUGAGUGCAGAAGAGGAAAGUGGAAUUCCAUGUGUAGCGGUGAAAUGCGCAGAGAUAUGGAGGAACACCAGUGGCGAAGGCGACUUUCUGGUCUGUAACUGACGCUGAUGUGCG
rnacentral:rRNA from 1 species